rnacentral:lncRNA from 1 species
ACUAGCUAACUCAGAGCUUGCUAAUGAGAGCUUGGCUCUUCGUUUCCAGGUGCAAUGGCUUGAGGCUGGGGCGACCGCGACCUGCUGCAGUCGGACACGGAUCUGACUGGAAACCCGGCAUCCGCAGGGACGUCACGGUGCUGCCGUCGGGGAUCGUUCUGAAGUGGAGGAGACUACAAAGUCAGGAACAGCUCUGUACCAUGUUGCUGUCACUCUGCCUGAUAGAAAAUCACCUGCGUCGUGGACCGAUUCAUUGCUGGGAGUUGUUUGAAAAGCUUCUGUUUAAUAUGCUGGAAAUCACCAUGUGAAAUCAAUCCAGCAGUGGGGAUUGAAUUUUUCUAAACCAUUCCCCGUCUCAGUGGUUUUGGAUUCCCAUCCUAUUUUUGUUUUAAUUUAUUCUGGAGACAGACCUGGCCCCAGUGCCUCUGUUCCCAGGCUCCGUGGGCUCCCACG